GGGGAUUUAGCUCAGUGGAAGAGCGCUUGCCUAGCAAGCGAAAGGCCCUGGGUUCGGUCCCCAGCUCCG
rnacentral:tRNA from 1 species